GACGUAGGGCGCGAGCGUUGUCCGGAUUUAUUGGGCGUAAAGAGCUCGUAGGCGGCUUGUCGCGUCGACUGUGAAAACCCGCGGCUCAACCGUGUGGCUUGCAGUUGAUACGGGCAGGCUAGAGUUCGGUAGGGGAGACUGGAAUUCCUGGUGUAGCGGUGAAAUGCGCAGAUAUCAGGAGGAACACCGGUGGCGAAGGCGGGUCUCUGGGCCGGUAUUGACGCUGAUGCGCGAAAGCCAGGGGAGCAAACGGG
rnacentral:rRNA from 1 species